GGGGCAGUAGCUCAGUGGUUAGAGUGGAAGAUUGCAAUUCUUACAUUUGCAACCAUCUUUAGGUCCCGUGUUCGACUCACGGCUGUCCCU